ensembl:lncRNA
CUGCAUGUUCUGCAGGAAAACUAAAGCCAAAAGAUGCCAGCAAAUAAUGGGUGAUCUACCUCCAGAGAGGACAGAACCAGCUGCCCCAUUCCACUACACAACAGUCGACCUCUUCGGACCCUACCAAGUCAGGGAUGAUGUGAAGAAAAGAGUGUCACUGAAGGUUUGGGGAAUUGUGUUUUGUUGCAUGGCCUCCAGAGCUAUUCACACCGAUCUGGUGAACUCUCAGUCCACAGAGAGUUUUCUGUUUGCCUACCAGAGGUUCACAGCACUAAGAGGUCAUCCAAAGAAAAUCUGGUCAGAUCCUGGGACCAACUUCACUGGGGCUAAGCCAGUCCUAGAAGAACAGUACCGAUUCCUUGCCAAUCUUGACAAAGCUACCCUGGAGGAGAGAGCUGCCAAGGAUGGCACAGAAUGGUCGUGGAAGAUUCAUCCAGCCGAUUCUCCACACCGGAAUGGUGCCGCAGAAGCUGCUGUGCGCAUUGUCAAGAGAGCACUGCAGAGUCUUGGAGGAGAGUCCGGCCUAAGGUGGAGUGAAUUCCAAACAACUCUCUACACGGCUGCCAAUCUUGCAAAUGAAAGACCAAUUGACGCCAGGACACAGAGCCGAGAAGACAGCGUCCAGUUCAUCACUCCUAACUGUCUCCUGCUCGGACGAGCAUCACAGGGUGGAGAUGUCAGAACAUUCGAUUUCAGUGACUAUCCCUACAAAAGGCUUAAAGAAAUGCAAGCGCAAGUUAACAAGUUCUGGAGGAACUGGAGUCAACUUGCUGGUCCUAACUUAUUCCUAUGGAACAAAUGGCAUACCGCCAAGAGAAAUGUCGCAGUCGGGGACAUCGUCUGGAUGGCGGACCAAAACGCGCCUUAGGGGUCAGUUCAGGAUUGCAAGAGUGGUUAGCGUCAACUCGACAGCAAAGGAGUUGUGAGGGACGUCAAUGUCAGAACCUUCCCAAGCUACCCCGUUCCUGUCACAAGGCCUACCGGAGCAAAAGUAAGUCACCGAACAUCUAAGAAAUUCAAAGAAAAGAUCCCAGCAGCAGUUCUUCACAGAGACGUAAGGCGACUAGUGGUCUUGCUUCCCACCGAAGAACAGAACUAAACAUCUGACCCAAGUUAUACCUGUAACAUGCGACCUCCCAGGUGUCUCCACUGGAAGGUCGAGUGGGAGGUGUGAAGUCAACUUGGAAAAUCCCCGCUGGAUAUGAAGGGGUUAAUAAGCAGCGCCGACUGACAGCUGGGGGAAUCCCUCCUCAGAGCGUUACCUGGGAAAUCCGCGUCAUUGCGUCACCUGACCGGAAAGGACAGAAAGGGGAAGAGAGACUCUUUCAGGAAACGCCAGUUGCAAACAAAUCAGACAGCGUUCUGUCCAGCAGCAGCAAAGCUGCGCUAGAAAGCGCUGAAAAAGCUGCGCUGGUACAGCCAUAAAAAGCCUGGAGAAACGGCCGGUUUUUUACCUUGCAGUAUACCUAGCAGUUUACCACUUGCAACCCACUUACAACUGUACCCACAAUACCUACCUGCUACAACUUACCUGUACCUGUGAAAAUACAAAAAGAGAAGUAAAGAGGAGUUAAAGAAGGAAAACGGUGUGGUCAUUGCAUGAGUGGAACCCAGUUAAACCUCCUAUGGUC